UACGUAGGGAGCAAGCGUUGUCCGGAAUCAUUGGGCGUAAAGCGCGCGUAGGCGGCCUCGUAAGUCCGUUGUGAAAGUCGAAGGCUCAACCUUUGAAAGCCGAUGGAUACUGUGAGGCUAGAGUCCGGAGGAGGCGAGUGGAAUUCCUGGUGUAGCGGUGGAAUGCGCAGAUAUCAGGAGGAACACCAAUAGCGAAGGCAGCUCGCUGGGACGGUACUGACGCUAAGGCGCGAAAGCGUGGGGAGCGAACAGG
rnacentral:rRNA from 1 species